CAAUUGGAUGGGCUAGAUGGUCAAACAACAGAGAAAGCUCAAGAAGACACCGAGAACAUAACCAAGGCCGCCAAUCAAGAAUGUGUGCAAGAAGCUGAACAAGUGAACAUAAAUGAUGAGAUCACACCAGUAGGACAAGGCCAGGAGGCCCCUGGUUCAGAUCCACCACACCCACCACAACCAGCAGACAAGGGCAAAGGACCAGCUAGAGUAAACAGCCCAAUUAGACCAAGACCAUCCUCAUACGUACUUGAUCUGGACCAACCAAUAUCUCCAACAGAAGAAGCAAUCAGGAAAUGGGUAUUGGACAACCCUAACCCAGAUCUGACACAAGAACUAUUCAAGUAUGACGGAAGAGUAAUCUACUGGAAAGAUAUGCUGACAAUGAAGCCAGAUAC